rnacentral:rRNA from 1 species
CACGGGGGGAGCAAGCGUUGUUCGGAAUCACUGGGCGUAAAGGGCGUGUAGGCGGUCAGGUAAGUGAGACGUGAAAUGCCCCGGCUCACCCGGGGACCUGCGUCUCAUACUGCUUGGCUUGAGUACGGGAGAGGAUGUGGGAAUUCCUGGUGUAGCGGUGAAAUGCGUAGAUAUCAGGAGGAACACCGGUGGCGAAGGCGGCAUCCUGGACCGGCAUUGACGCUGAACAGCGAAAGCCAGGGGAGCAAACGGG